rnacentral:rRNA from 1 species
UAGGGAAUUUUCGUCAAUGGGCGCAAGCCUGAACGAGCGAUGCCGCGUGAGUGAAGAAGGCCUUCGGGUCGUAAAGCUCUGUUGCGGGGGGAAAAAAAGGGCAUCUGCAGGAAAAUGGUAGAUGACAGAUGGUGCCCCGCCAGAAAGUCACGGCUAACUACGUGCC